rnacentral:lncRNA from 1 species
CCUGCGGCCAUGCUGGGCUAGGACAAGAGGCAGAGGCAGAGAGACAGAGAGGAGCCACCCUAAGAAGAGAGACCAGAUACCCUUUUCUCAUCCUUUGAGUUCAACAGAUGUCUCUUCUGGUUGCAAGUGACAGAAGCCCACACAGAAAAGGCUCAGACCAAAGAGAAAUUUAUGGGCUCCUGAAACCGUAUGUCAGAGAGAGAUUGGGCCAGGGCUGGGAUGUGACCCCGGCUCUUUCUUGGUUUCUCCUCGCCGCUUCUCUCUCUCCUGCAGCCUCACAGUCUCAGACAGGAUUCUUUCAAGAAUUGCAAACUUGGCUGAAGACCUUCCUGUCCCCUUUCUUACCUCCCAUGUACAGGAUGGGGGUGAUGAUCCCACUUCUCUGACUCUCACCCAGAAGUUAGGAACUCCUUAAGCCUCCCUUGCAGAGGGACUAGGACUUAACUGAGAAAGAUGGAAAAACAAGCCACGGAAGUAACUUUUCACAUAAAAGUGAAUUUAAGGCACCUGAGACUUUAAUGUGUGGGCAGAUAAUAAAAAUUCUGUUGAAAUGUUUUCAUGUAUCUGUGCCUAAAAUAACAUUCUGAGAUGUUAUCAUCUUUUAA